rnacentral:rRNA from 1 species
GACGAACGCUGGCGGCGUGCUUAACACAUGCCAGUCGAACGGCAAGGCCCUGCUUUUGUGGGGUGCUCGAGUGGCGAACGGGUGAGUAACACGUGAGUAACCUGCCCUUGACUUUGGGAUAACUUCAGGAAACUGGGGCUAAUACCGGAUAGGAGCUCCUGCUGCAUGGUGGGGGUUGGAAAGUUUCGGCGGUUGGGGAUGGACUCGCGGCUUAUCAGCUUGUUGGUGGGGUAGUGGCUUACCAAGGCUUUGACGGGUAGCCGGCCUGAGAGGGUGACCGGCCACAUUGGGACUGAGAUACGGCCCAGACUCCUACGGGAGGCAGCAGUGGGGAAUAUUGCACAAUGGGCGGAAGCCUGAUGCAGCAACGCCGCGUGCGGGAUGACGGCCUUCGGGUUGUAAACCGCUUUCGCCUGUGACGAAGCGUGAGUGACGGUAAUGGGUAAAGAAGCACCGGCUAACUACGUG